UACGUAGGGUGCAAGCGUUAAUCGGAAUUACUGGGCGUAAAGCGUGCGCAGGCGGUUUUGUAAGACUGUCGUGAAAUCCCGGCGUACUGGAGUGCGAUGUGACUGCAAGGCUAGAGUUUGGUCAGAGGGGGGUAGGAAUUCCACGUGUAGCAGUGAAAUAGCGUAGAGAUGUGGAGGAACACCGAUGGCGAAGGCAGCCCCUCGGGUGAAGACUGACGCUCAUGCACGAAAGCGUGGGGA
rnacentral:rRNA from 1 species